rnacentral:rRNA from 1 species
AACGAACGCUGGCGGCAUGCCUAACACAUGCAAGUCGAACGCUCCGCAAGGGGAGUGGCGAACGGGUGAGUAACGCGUGGGAAUCUACCCAGCAGUGGGGAAUAACCGCGGGAAACUGCGGCUAAUACCGCAUACGCCCUUAGGGGGAAAGAUUUAUCGCUGUUGGAGGAGCCCGCGUCGGAUUAGCUAGUUGGUGGGGUAAUGGCUCACCAAGGCGACGAUCCGUAGCUGGUCUGAGAGGAUGAUCAGCCACACUGGGACUUAGACACGGCCCAGACUCCUACGGGAGGCAGCAGUGGGGAAUAUUGGACAAUGGGGGCAACCCUGAUCCAGCAAUGCCGCGUGAGUGAUGAAGGCCUUAGGGUUGUAAAGCUCUUUUACCGGGGACGAUGAUGACGGUACCCGGAGAAUAAGCCCCGGCUAACUUCGUGCCAGCAGCCGCAGUAAUAC